rnacentral:lncRNA from 1 species
CAAACCCUAAACCUAAACACUCCCCCAUCUUCUCUUCAUCUUCUCCAAACAACCCCUCCAGUCGCGAGCUCCAGCCAGCCAUGGCUACCCUCUUUCUUCAGCUUUGACCACCCUUCACCCUCGACCAAACGAACCUCCAUCAAAACCAUUAACCAAACACCUCGCGACUGCCCGCCUUCGUUUCCAGCCAUUUCCUUUCCGUCGUUCACCACCAGUCAACCGACAACCACAAACACACACCCACAGUCGUCACCAUCCACGAACCAAGCAACCCAAUGCCACUGCUCCUCCUCGCCUUUUUAUUUACACUCACCCAAACGGAACCCAUGAUUCACUAUUUUCAGCCAUGAACCAACGGCCAAACUUUCUCCUCCAGUUUGUCGUCAGUCAUUGUUGUCUGUUUUUGUUCGUCAUCGCCGCCUUCAGUUGUUCGUUGGUCAUCAUUUGUUUAAAACGAUCGCUGGCCGGACAUAUUUUGUUUACGUCAAAGUUGAAGUCUUCGUUCGAGUUUUUGAUUCAAUGUUGUUGAUUGCAUUUAAAAGUCGUAUCAAUGUGCAGUUGUAAUUGUUACUUCAUUUCGGUUUAAUCAGAAAGCUCCUCCAGGCCUGUCCUUCAUCUUUUUUGUUUUGGUAGGAAAUUCUCGAAUCAGUAAGUUUUCUUAUUCAUGCUCGAAUCAACAAUUUUGCUGAUAAAGUUUAUGAGGUAAUUAAUCCAGAUGAAUAUUAUGUUUGGAUUUAAGAUUAUCAUCUUAUGAUUUUACCAACUACUCUAAGGAAAAAAUAAGAUAGAAUCCAUUUCCAUCAUAUGAAAUAUACAGAACUUUGCUUGUUGGAGAUGAGAUAUUAAGAGCUUUAUUGAAUUGUGAUUUUGUUGGAUUUCAAACUUUUGAUUAUGUACAUUUUUUUCAUAUUGAUUGUAGUGUUAUUGGAUUUAAUUUGAAGUUCAAGUGAGGAUUGAUAUUAGUGAUUUGAAUAUACUUGUUUGUUAUGUUGAGUUUUUUCUGAUAUGAAUCUGAUCUUGAAUGUUGAUAUGAAUCUUACUUUGUUGAAAUGAUUCCUAAAUGUUGUUGACUAGGAGUUUGUUUGAUGAGAUUAAUUGUCAAUUGAUAGGUGAAUUGGUUAUAGCUGAUAGAGUUUGGUGCAGAUUAAAAAAAAUAGGGUAGAAUAGUAAUUUUAGAAGUAUCAGGGGUAUUUUGGGAUUUAUAAGUGUAAAAAAUAAUUAAUUAAAUAUACUGUCCAUGUAGUACUAAUGUAACAUUAAACUAAGGAAUUGUUUAAUAGAAGUGGGGGAUAAGACAUAUGAUAGUGGGGAAUAAUUCAUUUGUUUAAUGAAAGUGGGGAACAUGACAUAAUGAUGUAAAUAAAGGAAAAAUGGGGUUUGAAAAGUUACAAAAAUGGAAUAAUAAUGAAAAAGUUAAAAGUGUUCACAUAGUAGAAGAAUAUUUAAAAGCUGGAAAGUAAAAGGAGGAGGGGCUAAUAAUAAAAGUUUUUCCCUUUACAACUGUAAAAAAAAAAAAGAAGGGCUGAAAAGGAAAAAGAGUUUGGGUUUAAAUAUCGAGAUUAAGAGAGUCAUUAAGGGGAGGAUGAAAAACAAAAAAUAAGAGAGAUUUUGAGAGUUAAAAAAAUACUGAGAGUACACACAUGGGAACUGGCAGUAAGAGUUUAAGGUCAAAAAUACAUAGAAAAGAUUCCCAGAGAUAGAGAGAUAAGACUUGAACGGGCAGUAAGAACUGAGAGUUAAAAAAAAUUGGAGAGCAUUCUUGAGAGAGUUUAAGCAAUCAGUUAAUUCAACUAAGAUUUUUUUAUUGAAAAUUAAAGAGAACUUCAGCUUUAACUAUCAAGUUAAAUUUUCGAGUUCAUCUUUUAGCUGUUGGUACUGCAUUUUGUUUGCUGUUUGGUUUGCAUAUUGAUUCUGGGUGGUUGUUCAAGUCUUACCGGAGUCUAAAGUUGGUUUCAUUUAUUGAUGUUGGAGUUUGUUUACUGGUUUAUGGUCUGCACUGGUUGCCUGUUACUGUUCCAUUACUGGGUUGCUGCUGAUUUGAUGUUGUUUGUUGCGUUACUGCUGACUACUGCUCCUUCUAUUUUCCAUUAUCCAGGUACACACUCUGAAAUCAUGUAUUGAUGUAAACGUCAAGUUGGAGGUAAAAUGAAAUGCUGUCAAGUUUCCUUUUGAAUUCCCUUACAUCUUUAAAUGGACAUUGAGUAGAAUUUUGUACUUGUAACUGAUUGAUAAGUGUAUAAAUUGGAUUGUUGAAUCUAUCUAUUCAAACAUGUGAA